rnacentral:rRNA from 1 species
GGAAUCUUGGACAAUGGGGGCAACCCUGAUCCAGCGACGCCGCGUGGGUGAUGAAGGCCUUCGGGUUGUAAAGCCCUUUCACCGGGGACGAUGAUGACGGUACCCGGAGAAGAAGUCCCGGCUAACUCCGUGCCCGCCGCCGCGGUAAUACGGAGGGGACUAGCGUUGUUCGGAAUUACUGGGCGUAAAGCGCACGUAGGCGGAUUCGUAAGUCAGGGGUGAAAUCCCGAGGCUCAACCUCGGAACUGCCUUUGAUACUGCGAAUCUCGAGUCCGGAAGAGGUGAGUGGAAUUCCUAGUGUAGAGGUGAAAUUCGUAGAUAUUAGGAAGAACACCAGUGGCGAAGGCGGCUCACUGGUCCGGUACUGACGCUGAGGUGCGAAAGCGUGGGGAGCAAAC